rnacentral:lncRNA from 1 species
UAAUCAACACUUCAAGUGAAAAACUAAUAAUUUUAUCAUUAUUACAUGUACACUUUUUACUAUUAAUCAUGAGGUUAUAAAUUUAUAAGUUAGUAAAAUUCUGGUAAAAUCUAACGAAAAUGGGUCUUGAACAAUGUUGAAGAUGAAACCCAAAAUCCAAGCAACAAGUACACGUCGCCCAAGCUUAGAACGACUUGUCGCCCAGGCGACAGGUACUUGUCACCUGGAUUUUGGUAUCUAUUGCCUGGGUGACAAGCACUAGUCGCUUGGAUUCUAGUAUUCGUUGCCCGGACAAUAGGAUGCUGCAUGUUAGGUGAUUAGUGCUCACAUCGCCCAACAUACAAUUGCAUGUAAUUCGGGUAACGUUUUAUGUCACCUAGGCGAUAGUGCUACUACCCGAAUCACCCAAAUUUGUUCAUGAUUAGUUAUUUAAUUAAUAUACGAAUAUUAUUGUUUGGAGUAUUAUUAAUAAAACAUUAUUAUUAGUUUACAUCAGGUUAAUAGAGUCGAUAGUGCUUAAGAUAUAUUUUGAUGGGACGUGAAAGACUUUGAAGGAUGGUUGUAUGGAAUAUGAGAAUGGAAAAGUUACUGUAUUUUGUUUCCAAAUAGAUGUGCGUCACCCAGGCAACAUUGUCUGUCACUCGAUUUUCCAUAAAGUUGUCCAUUGCUUGAUUUUGUCAAGCGAUAUACAACUCUCAGGAAAAUCAAGCAACGUGUUGUGUUGCCCGAGUGACAUCCCUAUUGCACACCUAUUUUAUGCGUACGACAGGCACAUUGCCCGGGCAACACAACCUAUUGCCCAAUUUUCUAGAGAGGUGUGUAUUGCUUGAUUUUGGUGGCCGCUGAAUAUGUCAAUUGAUAAUAGGAAUAUGAAAUAAUACUACUUUAUUGUAUGUCUUUUUACAGAAUCUCAUUCAUAAUUAUAUCUAUAGCAAACUUCUUCCUAACCAAAUCUCCACAAUAGCUAAAGUUAAGUGUACGGCCUAACAUUAGAUAAGACAUGUACUUCUCUUUAAUGUGAUCCUUGUUGUGCUCUUUCUUAUAUUUUUUAACUUUACCAAUCAAGCUUUGUCAUUUGCUUGUAGAGAAUUUUCCUUGAAUAGGUGCCCCAAUAAAAGUUGUUGAAAUAAUCUAAAUCAUUCACAGCAUGCAUUAUCUCUUUUGUUAUUCUCCUUUCAAACGGUCUUACACACAAAACCCUAUCUGCGAAACAUGAUAAGGCAAUCCUCAACACAUCUGUGUCAUCCAUGUUAGUGAAAUCAAAAUCAUCAAACCUAUUAUCUUAUUUGUUAAGCUUAAAGUACCUUAUUCCACCGAAAUAUUGAUGACGUAUUCGCCAACCAAAGUUUUUUUUGUGCAAAUUUUCCACAUUACAACAUUUCAAUCCUGUCACUAAGAACCAUUCUCAAAUAAAGAAACGUAACAUAUCGUUGCCAAUCUUAAACCACAUUUUAUACUCAUCAUUAACUUGUUUUCAGGACUAGUCUGAGCAACAAAAAAUGUACAAGAUUGCUGCUAAAUUCAGGAUCCCCCAUGGCUAGAAAAUGACCAAAAUUGACUUUUUGAAUAGCCCAAAUUGAAUGUCAGUUAACUUGGUCUGUAAAUGUGUGGUCACAAAAUUAAAUCUGGUUAAAUUCAUAACACAUCCUAGAAAGUGAUCCUCGAUCGGUAUCUUCAGUGACCAGGGAUGCAUCUGCUUGUCGGACAUAUCUAAACAAUAAAUUAGGACAACAUUAGUAUAAAUGUUUAAAAAAAACAAAACUUAAAACAUUCGAAAAACUUGGGUAGUUGUUGUCGCCCAGAAUGCUGGCAAUGCAAGUAUAUGGGCGACAACAUGUAUUGCCCAACCAAAUUUGGGCAACAUCAUAUACUUGGCUGGGUGACGCAAGCGUGUCGCCCGCAUUGCCAAGCCUCUCAUGCCAUGCAUGGCCAUUUGGUUGGGCAACGGGGGGAAGCAACAUGUGUUGUCCAAGCUUGGCAUGUCCAAAACUUUAGGUAACACAGGCAACCAUCCAUGUUCUUGAUUGGCCGGCACACCAACAUUCUUUUUAACCUCAAAAUAACUUUAAAUUUAGAUCAAUAAUUCCUUAGAGGCAUUUAAACAAACGCUUGGUGUGCCAUUUAUUAGAUAGGGAGAUUGCCAAUUUCCCCCCUACAUUAAUCAACAUAUAUCAUUUCCCCCCUUGUUGUUUUUAUAAUGACCAAAAACCCCCCGAUAGCAUAAGUUUACAAUAUUACCCUUAUUUUCAACUACUCUUUUAUUUAUAUUUAUUAUAAAUUAAAUAAAUCAC